ensembl:snoRNA
CUCCAUCUUAAAAAAAAAUACUGUCUAUUGCUAAGGUUUCCCCUACAGAUGCAAGACAAACAUGUCCUUGCACUUUCCGUCUGUCUAAUUGUGGCAGCUGAGAUUGAAUAGAGGAAUACAGGG